rnacentral:snRNA from 1 species
GGAUGGGAAGGUGAUCUGGCUGCAACAUGCCAGGUUUGAUUCAGUCGAUGGGGCAUGCUAGGCUUAUGUCCUCUUCCUCCCUUGCUGCUCUGUGUGCAUCCCUCAUAGAGCUGCAUGCUUGGGAGAAGAGGGCAACCUUACCCAACAGAGGAGGACCUACCUUUGGUCAAGGGUCUAUGAGUAGCUCUGCUCCCCUGCUAAAACCUCCAAACAAGCUCUCAACGUAUUAUGCUCUAGUGGAAAUGGGGACGGGGCGGGGGGGGGAGGGAUAUACAAGAGGGUAAUGAGGGGUGAAUAUGAUCACAGUAU